rnacentral:rRNA from 1 species
GACGAACGCUGGCGGCGUGCUUAACACAUGCAAGUCGAACGAGAGCGUAGAGAAAGCUUGCUUUUUCUACAAUCUAGUGGCAAACGGGUGAGUAACGCGUAAACAACCUGCCCUACGGAUGGGGACAACAGCUGGAAACGGCUGCUAAUACCGAAUACGUUCCGAAAGUCGCAUGACUAUCGGAAGAAAGGAUGGCCUCUAUUUAUAAGCUAUCGCCGGAGGAGGGGUUUGCGUCUGAUUAGCUAGUUGGAGGGGUAACGGCCCACCAAGGCGACGAUCAGUAGCCGGUCUGAGAGGAUGAACGGCCACAUUGGAACUGAGACACGGUCCAGACUCCUACGGGAGGCAGCAGUGGGGAAGCUUCCGCAAUGGGCGAAAGCCUGACGGAGCAACGCCGCGUGAGUGAAGACGGCCUUCGGGUUGUAAAGCUCUGUUAUACGGGACGAAUAAUCUUGUGGUUAAUACCCAUGAGAAGUGACGGUACCGUAAGAGAAAGCCACGGCUAACUACGUG